UGUCCCUGGCUUAGUGUCAUCUUUGUCCCACUCACUUGCACUGAACACAACUCAGCUGCUCUGGAGAAACUGGGUUCUUUCUCAAACAACAUAAAAACAUUUUAAUAUAUUCUAGAGUGACAUACUCAUCUAGAGUCUGGUAGUGUGAGGUACUGAGCCCCUUCACCUGCCUUCAGACAUACUGCAACUAGCAGGAAUUUGUAUUUUCCUUGAACUGUUUUUGAAGUUAGUGAGAGUGGGAGCUUAAUUCAUGGUUCAUUCUGACCUUAAAAUCUAUUGUGACCAUGUAGUCUGACCUGCAUAAUAAAGGCCAUAGAAUUUUGCUGACCAAUUUCUGUAUCAAGCCCAUAGCUUCUGUUGGAGCUAUAGCAUAUCUUAAGGAAAGACUUCGUCUCUUCCCGACUUAAGGCUUAAAAGUGACAAAGAAUCUUCCACCUCCCUUGAGCCCUGCCAUGUACAGCAAGGAGAAGGUGGAAGAGGAGGAGGAGUAUGAGGGACAGGCAACCAGGGGAUCCAGGACCUGUUUUUGACUCCAUAGUAGUCCUGCCAGUUGAGUAUGGGUGAGCCCAAUGCAGGGGAUGGAACCUCAGCUGUGGCCAUUGCAGCCUUGAGAGGUUCCCCCUCCACGCCAGUGGACAGACUGACCUAGAUAAGGAGGAGAAAAAAAGAUGUGGAAAGACAUGUUCUGUGAGACCCUUCGAGCCAGUGCUGUAUCAGACCUUGAGCAGAGGGCCCAGAGGGCAAAUAUUGCAGACUGUAUGGAGAAGGAAAGACUGGACAGGAGAAAAGUGCAGGAAAAGGAGAGGGAAAUGCACCAGGACAUAAUGAGACUUCUCCAACAGAAAACGCAGAUGCUGCAGACUCUGGUGAACCUCCAAGUUCAACUCUCCCAGAGUCAACUCCCACUACAGUCUGUGGAGAAAUUCAGCGUAGCACCUCCCUUCCCCCCAGGCAUUCCACAUGGCCUCAGGGCCAACAUGCAUACUCCUACCACUCCACACCAGCGGAAGGCCUGGACAACUGCAGCUUCACCUACACUGACCUGUGAAAGCCACAGUUGAUGUAUGUGUAGCUACAAUGGACAGCAGUAUUCCUUCCUCUUGUUUAUUUAUUAGGGUUCCUAAAUAGUU